rnacentral:rRNA from 1 species
GAGAGAGACAUGCGCGCAUAUCAAUAAGCGGAGGAAAAGAAACUAACAAGGAUUCCCCUAGUAACGGCGAGUGAAGCGGGAAGAGCUCAAAUUUGAAAUCUUAAAGGGUUUCCCUUUACGAAUUGUAGUUUAAAGAAGUGUUUUCUGUUGAGGUUUUGGUAAAAGUUCUUUGGAAUAGGACAUCAUAGAGGGUGAGAAUCCCGUAUUUGACCUUUACUUUCAACUUUGUGAUACACUUUCAAAGAGUCGGAUUGUUUGGGAAUGCAGUCCAAAAUGGGUGGUAAAUUUCAUCUAAAGCUAAAUAUUGGCGAGAGACCGAUAGCGAACAAGUACCGUGAGGGAAAGAUGAAAAGAACUUUGAAAAGAGAGUUAAACAGUACGUGAAAUUGUCAAAAGGGAAGCGUUUGACACCAGUGUUGUUUUUCUGAAAAUCAAUUAAAGAACUGUUUAUGCUAAGUUGUUUAGACUUUAUCAGCUAUCUGUUUAGUUUUGAGCUUUUCUUUAAUGCACUUUUCAGUUAACAAGUCAACAUCAAUUUCUUUUGCUGUAAAAAAGCUUGAGGAAGGUGGCUUGAGAUUCGUCUUAAGUGUUUAUAGCCUCUUGCCUAUGCAGUCGGAGAGAUUGAGGUCUGCAGCGUAGAUCCUUCGGGGCUAAAUGCAUUUGUGCUAAGUUAUAGCAUUUUAUAGACAACUUGUUGACUAUGAUUUGUCUUGUAGCUUACUCGCUUAUGUUAUUUUACCUACGCUUAGGAUGUUGACGCAUGAGAUAUACGC